rnacentral:ribozyme from 1 species
GCACCCAAAGAAAAGAAGGAAAAGAAAGAGAAAAAGGAAAAGAAGGAGAAGAAAGACAAGAAGUAACUCGGAGCAUGUUCUUGAUGUCGUGUGUCGACAGUCUCGUUAUUU